GGUCCGUUAGCAUAGCCAGGCUUAAUGCGCUGCCUCGUCAAGGCAGAGACCCGUGGGUUCAAAUCCCACACGGACCG
rnacentral:tRNA from 1 species